UGUAUGCGUAAUUGUUGUCCAAUCCUCUAGCCAGAAGAUAUAUGUUGUGUACUUUAUAAGAUACACAUCACCUAAUAGUUUGUCAAUCAUGUAAUAGCUAACUAAACCAAUAUAUAAGAUCGCUGCACCAGUCAUCGCUCUUUACCAAGGCCAUUCCAUGUCGUCUUCUAGUUCUGCCAAGGCAGCCUCCUCAGCAUAUUUCUCAUGAUAGAUAUCAAUGUCACUAUCAUCUUGUGUUCCAGCAUCUAUAGGACUCUGCCCAAAAUCAUCGAAUAACUUUUGGUACAAAAUAAACCUCAUUGUUG
rnacentral:misc_RNA from 1 species